rnacentral:rRNA from 1 species
UACAGAGGUCCCAAGCGUUGUUCGGAUUCAUUGGGCGUAAAGGGUGCGUAGGCGGCGCGGUAAGUCGGGUGUGAAAUCUCGGGGCUUAACUCCGAAACUGCAUUCGAUACUGCCGUGCUUGAGGACUGGAGAGGAGACUGGAAUUUACGGUGUAGCGGUGAAAUGCGUAGAUAUCGUAAGGAAGACCAGUGGCGAAGGCGGGUCUCUGGUCCGGUACUGACGCUGAGGUGCGAAAGCGUGGGGAGCAAACAGG